rnacentral:misc_RNA from 1 species
GAUGAAGAACGUAGUGAAAUGCGAUAAGUAAUGUGAAUUGCAGAAUUCAGUGAAUCAUCGAAUCUUUGAACGCACAUUGCGCCCGCCAGUAUUCUGGCGGGCAUGCCUGUUCGAGCGUCAUUUCAACCAUCAAGCCCCAGGCUUGUGUUGGGGACCUGCGGCUGCCGCAGGCCCUGAAAACCAGUGGCGGGCUCGCUGUCACACCGGGCGUAGUAGAUUUUAUCUCGCUCAGGGCGUGCUGCGGGUUCCGGCCGUUAAAAAGCCUUUUUUACCCAAGGUUGACCUCGGAUCAGGUAGGAAGACCCGCUGAACUUAAGAAUAUCAAUAAGCGGAGGA